AGUCAAUAGAUACCCAGGUAGUCCACGCCGUAAACGAUGAGUACUAGGUGUAGGAGGUAUCGACUCCUUCUGUGCCGCAGUUAACACAAUAAGUACUCCGCCUGGGAAGUACGGUCGCAAGAUUAAAACUCAAAGGAAUUGACGGGGGCCCGCACAAGCAGCGGAGCAUGUGGUUUAAUUCGAAGCAACGCGAAGAACCUUACCUAGACUUGACAUCCCCUGAAUUACCAUGUAAUGUGGGAAGCCCUUCGGGGCAGGGAGACAGGUGGUGCAUGGUUGUCGUCAGCUCGCGUCGUGAGAUGUUGGGUUAAGUCCCGCAACGAGCGCAACCCUUAUCAUUAGUUGCUACCAGUAAGAUGAGCACUCUAAUGAGACUGCCCGGGUUAACCGGGAGGAAGGCGGGGAUGACGUCAAAUCAUCAUGCCCCUUAUGUCUAGGGCUACACACGUGCUACAAUGGUGAGAACAACAAGAUGCGAUACCGCGAGGUGGAGCAAAACUGAAAACUCAUCUCAGUUCGGAUUGCAGG
rnacentral:rRNA from 1 species